UACGGAGGGUGCAAACGUUGCUCGGAAUCAUUGGGCGUAAAGCGCACGUAGGCGGCCUAGCAAGUCGGGUGUGAAAGCCCUCGGCUUAACCGAGGAAGUGCAUUCGAAACUACUAGGCUUGAGUACUGAAGAGGAUCGCGGAAUUCCCGGUGUAGAGGUGAAAUUCGUAGAUAUCGGGAGGAACACCAGUGGCGAAGGCGGCGAUCUGGGCAGAUACUGACGCUGAGGUGCGAAAGCGUGGGGAGCAAACAGG
rnacentral:rRNA from 1 species